UCAACUUACUAUUUACUUUAAUUAUUAGUAAUUUAUACAUAUUGAUAUUUCCCUUGUAAGUUUAAAUAUAUAUAUAUAUAUCCAUGUAUUUUUAAAAGGAUGUGGUUUUUCAGUUAUUUUUUCUUUUUUUCCCUUUUUUUCGUAUUUUUUCUUUUCAAACUUUUAUUUAAACCCUAGUGAGUUAACAUGCAGGGCAAUAUUGGUUUGGGGAGUAGAAUUCAGUGCUUCAUCACUUUCAUACAACACCCAGUGCUCAUCAUCACAAGUGCCUUUCUUGAUCCCCUUC